rnacentral:rRNA from 1 species
GUGAGGAAUUUUCCGCAAUGGUCGCAAGACUGACGGAGCAACGCCGCGUGCAGGAGGAAGCUUUUCGGAGUGUAAACUGCUUUUCUGUGGGAAGAGCGAGGACGGUACCACAGGAAGAAGCCCCGGCUAACUACGUGCCAGCAGCCGCGGUAAUACGUAGGGGGCGAGCGUUGUCCGGAGUUACUGGGCGUAAAGGGCACGCAGGCGGUGCUGCGCGUUUCGCGUGACAGCGGGUGGCUUAACUACCCGAGGGUGCGAAAGACGGCAGGGCUAGAGGACCAGAGAGGGACACGGAAUUCCGGGUGGAGUGGUGAAAUGCGUAGAGAUCCGGAGGAACACCGAAGGCGAAGGCAGUGUCCUGGCUGGUGACUGACGCUGAGGUGCGAAAGCCAGGGGAGCGAACGGGAUUAGAUACCCGGGUAGUCC